CAGCUCUCUGUCCCUCGGUUAUUCGGCUCAAGUCUCAGUUCUGACAAGUGCCCAGAAACAUGAGGACCCUGAUUUCUCUCAGUGUGUUGCUGGCUGUCUUCUCCCGUGUCCAGGCAGAUUUGGUUCUGAAACAGCCGCCGUAUCUAACCGGGAAAACCGGCCAGGCCCUGAGACUGACCUGUGAAUCCAGCGGGUUUAUUCUCAACAUAACACACAUGUCCUGGUACCGGCAGCUUCCCGGGAAGCAGCAGGAAAAUCUGCUCCAGUAUGAAGGCUCAUCCAUCAAGUCAUUCGGGUCCGGGUUUGAAAACCGUGUCACUGUCAUCAGAGAAGAUUCCCAAAGCAUCUUCGAUCUGAUCAUCAAAUGCCCGACAGUGCACGACACCUCCACCUAUUACUGUGAAAUUAAGACACAGUGA